rnacentral:tRNA from 1 species
UGGGGUGUAGGUCAGUGGUAGAACUUUUGCCUACCAUGCACAAGGCCCUGGGUUCAAUUUUUGGCACCACAA